rnacentral:rRNA from 1 species
UACGGAGGGGGCUAGCGUUGUUCGGAAUUACUGGGCGUAAAGCGCACGUAGGCGGCUUUGUAAGUUAGAGGUGAAAGCCCAGGGCUUAACCCUGGAAUUGCCUUUAAGACUGCAUCGCUAGAAUCGUGGAGAGGUGAGUGGAAUUCCGAGUGUAGAGGUGAAAUUCGUAGAUAUUCGGAGGAACACCGGUGGCGAAGGCGGGUCUCUGGGCCGUUACUGACGCUGAGGAGCGAAAGCGUGGGGAGCGAACAGG